GACGAACGCUGGCGGCGUGCUUAACACAUGCAAGUCGAACGGAAAGGCCCUGCUUUUGUGGGGUGCUCGGGUGGCGAAGGGGUGAGUAACACGUGAGUAACCUGCCCUUGACUUUGGGAUAACUUCAGGAAGCUGGGGCUAAUACCGGAUAGGAGCUCCUGCUGCAUGGUGGGGGUUGGAAAGUUUCGGUGGUUGGGGAUGGACUCGCGGCGUAUCAGCUUGUUGGUGGGGUAGUGGCUUACCAAGGCUUUGAAGGGUAGCCGGCCUGAGAGGGUGACCGGACACAUUGGGACUGAGAUACGGCCCAGACUCCUACGGGAGGCAGCAGUGGGGAAUAUUGCACAAUGGGCGGAAGCCUGAUGCAGCAACGCCGCGUGCGGGAUGACGGCCUUCGGGUUGUAAACCGCUUUCGCCUGUGACGAAGCGUGAGUGACGGUAAUGGGUAAAGAAGCACCGGCUAACUACGUG
rnacentral:rRNA from 1 species